rnacentral:lncRNA from 1 species
UGGUAUUUCCCAGGUUUUCUUCUAGGAUUUUUAUGGUCCUAAGUCUUACGUUUAAGUCUUUGAUCCAUCUUGAGUUGAGUUUUGUAUAAGGUGUAAGGAAGGGGUCCAGUUUCAGUUUUCUGCAUAUGGCUAGCCAGUUUUCCCAACACCAUUUAUUAAAUAGGUAAUCCUUUUCCCAUUGCUUGUUAGUGUCAGGUUUGUCAAAGAUGAGAUGGUUAUAGAUGUGUGGUGUUAUUUCUGAGGCCUCUGUUCUGUUCCAUUGGUCUGUAUAUCUGUUUUGGUACCAGUACCAUGCUGUUUUGGUUACUGUAGCCUUGUAGUAUAGUUUGAAGUCAGGUAGCGUGAUGCCUCCAGCUUUGUUCUUCUUGCCCAGGAUUGUCUUGGCUAUGUGGGUUCUUUUUUGGUUCCAUAUGAAGUUUAAAGUAGUUUUUUCCAAUUCUGUGAAGAAAGUCAGUGGUAACUUGAUGGGGAUAUCAUUGAAUCUAUAAAUUACUUUGGGCAAUAUGGCCAUUUUCAUGAUGUUGAUUCUUCCUAUCCAUGAGCAUGGAAUGUUUUUCCAUUUGUUUGUGUCCUCUCUUAUUUCCUUGAGCAGUGAUUUAUAGUUCUCCUUGAAGAGGUCCUUCACGUCCCUUCUAAGUUGGAUUCCUAGGUAUUUUAUUCUCUUAGUAGCAGUUGUGAAUGGGAGUUCACUCAUGACUUGGCUCUCUGUUUGUCUGUUACUGGUGUAUAGAAAUGCUUGUGAGUUUGGCACAUUGAUUUUGUAUCCUGAGACUUUGUUGAAGUUGCUUAUUAGCUUAAGGAAAUUUUUGGCUGAGACGAUGGGGUUUUCUAAAUAUACAAUCAUGUCAUCUGCAAAUAGAGACAAUUUGUUGACUUCCUCUCUUCCUAUUUGAAUACCCUUUAUUUCCUUCUCUUGCCUGAUUGCCCUGGCCAGAACUUCCAAUACUAUGUUGAAUAGGAGUGGUGAGAGAGGGCAUCCUUGUCUUGUGCCGGUUGUCAAAGGGAAUGCUUCCAGGUUUUGCCCAUUCAGUAUGAUAUUGGCUGUGGAUUUGUCAUAAAUAGAUCUUAUUAUUUUGAGAUAUGUUCCAUCAAUACCCAAUUUAUUGAGAGUUUCUAGCAUGAAGUGGUGUUGAAUUUUGUCAAAGGCCUUUUCUGCAUCUAUUGAUGUGGUUUUUAUCAUUGGUUUAGUUUACAUGAUGGAUUACGUUGAUUGAUUUGCGUAUGUUGAACCAGCCUUGCAUCCCAGGGAUGAAGCCAACUUGAUCAUGGUGGAUAAGCUUUUUAAUUGCUGCUGGAUUCAGUUUGCCAAUAUUUUAUUGAGGAUUUUUGCAUUGAUGUUCAUCAGAGAUAUUGGCCUGAAAUUUUCCUUUUUUGUUAUGUCUCUGCUAGGUUUUGAUAUCAGGAUGAUGCUGGCCUCAUAAAAUGAGUUAGGGAGGAUUCUCUCUGUUUCUAUUGAUUGGAAUAGUUUCAGAAGGAAUGGUACCAGUAAAAAUAUGGAACGCUUCAUGAAUUUGCGUGUCAUCCUUGCACAGGGGCCAUGCUAAUCUUCUCUGUAUUGUUCCAAUUUUAGUAUAUGUGCUGCUGAAAUAAGCACACCACAUUUGUCUCUUAUUGUUUCUACACACAUUACUUAAGCUCAACCCACCUAAAAACAUUAUUUCUAUUUUAUUAAUACCCCAGUGUUUUUACUAAUGUUGUUGCCUCUACCAAAACUAUUCUUAACAACUAUCCCCAUUUGUCAAAAUUUUUACCCAUCUUGGUUAACAUCUACCUAUCUGCAAUAUUAUUUCAUCUAGACUCCCCUUCUACUUCCCAUUUCUAGAUUAUUCUGAAGCAAACUCAAGAUGUCACAUCACUUUAUCUUAAAUAUUUCAGUAUCUCUAAAAGAUACUGAAAAGAUAAAAGUACUAUUUAAAAAGAGCAAUACCAUUACCAGACAUAAAUAAUUAUUUAAUAUCAUCAACUAUCCAGCCAAUGUUCACGUCCUCAACUGUCUCAAGGAAGUUUUGUUUUUGUGUUUAUAGUUUUCUUGAAUCAGUAUCCAAAUAAAGUCCAAACAUUGCAAUUGGUUGAUAUGAUCUUUUCUUUUAAUCUAUAAGUUUUUUUCCUGCCUCACUUUUCUUACAAUUAUUUAUUAAAGAAACCAAAUUGUCUUUCAAGUUUCCCACCGUCUGGAUUUUGCUGAUUAUAUCCCUGUGGUGUCAAUGAACAUGCUCUUUUAUCCUGUGUAUUUCCCACAAAUUAAUGGUUGGAACUAGAGGCUAAAUCAGAUCCUGAAUUGAUUGUUUCUUGGAAAACUACUUCCUGAGUGCUGUUAUAUACUUUCAUUAGAGGCACAUUGCUGGUCUAUCUCUUUUGGGAAUAUUAUCAGUCAUUGAUGUUCAUUACUAGAUCCCUUCAUGAGGGGUCGAAAAAAGGUAAUAUUGGAAUUUUAUCAUUCUUUCUUCAUUUACAAGCUAUACCACCAACAUGUGAUGUUACUAUAAGA